rnacentral:lncRNA from 1 species
AAAAAAAAAAAAAAAUCACCAUCAUCCUCAGGGAGCCCCCUCGCCCUCGGAAAACAAAACCAGACAUGAUCCUGGGCUCCUGCUUCUGAAAGAUCUGCCCGACCGAGGAGGAGGGAGCCUAGGUUCAAGUCGCAGGAAAGGUCACGGCAGGGAAGCCCCCUCAGCCCCUCCGCGUCGCCUCCCCGCGGGCCGCCCCUCUCGGCCCUGCGCCCCGCGGCCCCGCAGCCUCCGCGCGGCCUCCCGCCCCAUCCCCGCCACUUUCCCCGGAGCUGGGCCGCGAACACCUCACUAUUGAUGGUGUAGCGCUUUAGGGGAAGCAUUUUUGAAACGUUGGGGUUGUUGGAGUGGUUGGAUUUUCCCUGGAAUUGAGUGAGAAAUUCAGAAGACUGAAGCCCAGGCUUACUGUCUACCUUUCACGGAGGCCUAGCCGUGAGAGGACAGAAGAAGGCACGUGGCGAAUCAUGACAGCGGACAAAGACAAAGACAAAGACAAAGAGAAGGACCGGGACCGAGACCGGGACCGAGAGAGAGAGAAAAGAGACAAAGCAAGAGAGAGUGAGAAUUCAAGGCCACGCCGGAGCUGUACCUUGGAAGGAGGAGCCAAAAAUUAUGCUGAGAGUGAUCACAGUGAAGACGAGGACAAUGACAACAAUAGUGCCACCGCAGAGGAGUCCACG